UCCCUAAGUGUAUUGGAAAUCUCGGGAACUGAGAAUAAUGCCCGAUAGAACAUUAUGCCUGGAAUGGUUUAUGUUUCAAAUGAUUUAUCGCCAUAGGAUGGGACUGCGGCCUAUCAGUUUGUUGGUGAGGUAAUGGCCCACCAAGACUAUUACAGGUACGGGCUCUGAGAGGAGUAGCCCGGAGAUGGGUACUGAGACACGGACCCAGGCCCUAUGGGGCGCAGCAGGCGAGAAAACUUUGCAAUGUGCGAAAGCACGACAAGGUUAAUCCGAGUGGUUUCUGCUAAAGAAACCUUCUGUCAGUCCUAGAAACACUGACGAAUAAGGGGUGGGCAAGUUCUGGUGUCAGCCGCCGCGGUAAAACCAGCACCUCAAGUGGUCAGGAUGAUUAUUGGGCCUAAAGCAUCCGUAGCUCGUUUUGUAAGUUUUCGGUUAAAUCCAUGCGCUUAACGUAUGGGCUGCCGGGAAUACUGCAUAACUAGGAAGUGGGAGAGGUAGACGGUACUCGGUAGGAAGGGGUAAAAUCCUUUGAUCUAUUGAUGACCACCUGUGGCGAAGGCGGUCUACCAGAACACGUUCGACGGUGAGGGAUGAAAGCUGGGGGAGCAAACCGGAUUAGAUACCCGGGUAGUCCCAGCUGUAAACUAUGCAAACUCAGUGAUGCAUUGGCUUGUGGCCAAUGCAGUGCUGCAGGGAAGCCGUUAAGUUUGCCGCCUGGGAAGUACGUACGCAAGUAUGAAACUUAAAGGAAUUGGCGGGGGAGCAC
rnacentral:rRNA from 1 species